rnacentral:rRNA from 1 species
CUACGGAGGGUGCAAGCGUUAUCCGGAUUUAUUGGGUUUAAAGGGUGCGCAGGCGGACCUGUCAGUCAGUGGUGAAAUCCCGGGGCUCAACCCCGGAACUGCCAUUGAUACUACAGGUCUUGAAUACGGUUGAAGUAGGCGGAAUGUAGCAUGUAGCGGUGAAAUGCAUAGAUAUGCUACAGAACACCGAUCGCGAAGGCAGCUUACUAAGCCGAUAUUGACGCUCAGGCACGAAAGCGUGGGGAGCGAACAGGAUUAGAAACCCUAGUAGUCC